CCUGGUGGCUAUGGCGGACGUGAACCACCCGAUCCCAUCCCGAACUCGGCCGUGAAACCGUCCUGCGCCGAUGGUACUUCGUCUUAAGACGCGGGAGAGUAGGUCGCUGCCAGGU
rfam:Tistrella mobilis KA081020-065, complete genome.